CCUCAUCAAACAUCACAUAAUGAAAACCUCCAAUUUUUUCCUGUCAUUUUUAAGAUAUUGAAAUCUUGUUAAGAAAAUACUAAAAAUGCCAUGGAAGUGACAAUGUGUCAGUUCUGAGCCAAGAGUCAAGAAGUCUUACCUGCUCCCAUUGUCUUUCUUGGGAACUUCCACUGCCAUGUGAAUAAGCCUGGACUAAGGAAGAUCAGAGACCCCAGCCCACCGGAGAGAAGCCCUGGGCCCUUCUACCCGUCCUAGCUGUUGGCAACACAGACCAGCCACCACCAGCUAUAUACACCAGCACACUUCAGAAAUAUAUGUGUCUUCUAUACAGUCUUCCUUGACCGAUGUGGUGCCUCACAACUUCUUCCCCCCACAGACCAACAAAGGAUUGGAUACUCAUCCAUUUGUAACAUCCCAAUCCAAGACAUGCUUUCCUUGACUGAAUCUGGAUUUGAACGAACAAGUCCCCAAAAUAUUAUGAGAACAACUAGAGAAAUGGACUGGUAUAUGAGAUAGUGCUAAGAAAUUAUUACUUUUAUUGAGUAUAUGCAGAAAAAUGUACUUAUUUUAGAGAUGCAUACUGAGUUUGGGGGAUGGGUGGGAAACAUAUCUGUAAAUUUCUCUUACUAUAGAA